UAAGGAAUAUUGGUCAAUGGACGCAAGUCUGAACCAGCCAUGCCGCGUGAAGGAUGAAGGUCAUCUGGAUUGUAAACUUCUUUUAUCUGGGACGAAAACGGGAUUUUUAUCUCAAUUGACGGUACCAGAGGAAUAAGCACCGGCUAACUCCGUGCCAGCAGCCGCGGUAAUACGGAGGGUGCGAGCGUUAUCCGGAUUUACUGGGUUUAAAGGGUGCGUAGGUGGGCUUAUAAGUCAGUGGUGAAAUCUCCGAGCUUAACUUGGAAACUGCCGUUGAUACUAUAGGUCUUGAAUUAUCUGGAGGUAAGCGGAAUAUGUCAUGUAGCGGUGAAAUGCUUAGAUAUGACAUAGAACACCAAUUGCGAAGGCAGCUUACUACAUAUAAAUUGACGCUGAGGCACGAAAGCGUGGGGAUCAAACA
rnacentral:rRNA from 1 species